rnacentral:misc_RNA from 1 species
GAUGAAGAACGUAGCGAAAUGCGAUAAGUAGUGUGAAUUGCAGAAUUCAGUGAAUCAUCGAAUCUUUGAACGCACAUUGCGCCCCUUGGUAUCCCGAGGGGCAUGCCUGUUCGAGCGUCAUUUCACCACUCAAGCCUGGCUUGGUGUUGGGCGCCUGUCCCGCCGUUUUCGCGCGCGGACUCGCCUCAAAGUCAUUGGCGGCGGUCGUGCCGGCCCCCUCGCGCAGCACAUUUGCGCUUCUCGGAGGCCCGGCGGAUCCGCGCUCCAGCAAGACCUUUCACGACUUGACCUCGGAUCAGGUAGGGAUACCCGCUGAACUUAAGCAUAUCAAUAAGCGGAGGA